AUUAGGAAAGUUUUAUUCUUGCUUACGCAUUUUCUACACUUUGAAUCUAUAUGCGCAAUUUAAUUAAUGUGAGAUAGCAGUUGAGGGUUUUAAAUAUUAGAGUAAUCUAGAUUUAGUUAAAAGUUUAGUGCCGGCAUAAUUCGUGCCAGCCGCCGCGGUUAGACGAGGGGGGUAAGGAAAUGUCAUUGGUUGUAAUAUUAUUGUGAUAUAGUUCACUUCUUAUUGUGUUUCAUGAAGGUGGAAUUUAGUUGGUUGAUUUUAGUGUGUGUUAUUGGAUUAAGUUACAGUAGUUUUUGUUUAGACCAGGAUUAGAUACCCUGUUAUUUGAAUUUAUUCUGAGUAGUAAAAGUUAUGUGCUUCAAACUCAAAGAAUUUGGCGGCACCUCAGUCCCUUUAGAGGAACUUGUCCCAUAAGCGAUAAUCCACGAUUAGUGUGUUCUGUUCUUGUAAUCCAGCUUGUAUACCGUCGUAUGUGAUUACUUCUAGAGUUUGUUUUCUUAAUUAAUUUGCUUAUUUAUUACAGAUCAAGGUGCAGUCUAUGAAUAGGUGGUGGUGAGUUACAUUGAAUUUAUUCAUAUGAAUUUUUUAUUUAAACAUAAGGUUGAAGGUGGAUUUAAUAGUAAUUUCCGUUGGUUAGUGGAAGUGAAUUGGGCUCUGGGGUGUGUACAUAUCGCCCGUCACUCUCACUUUAAAGUGAGAUAAGUCGUAACAUAGUAAAGGUACUGGAAAGUGCCUCUAGAGG
rnacentral:ncRNA from 1 species